CUGGAGACAGGUGCUGCAUGGCUGUCGUCAGCUCGUGUCGUGAGAUGUUGGGUUAAGUCCCGCAACGAGCGCAACCCUUGCCUUUAGUUGCCAGCAGUUCGGCUGGGCACUCUAAAGGGACUGCCGGUGUUAAACCGGAGGAAGUGGGGAUGACGUCAAGUCCUCAUGGCCUUUAUGACCAGGGCUACACACGUACUACAAUGGCCGAUACAAAAGGGCAGCGACACUGCGAGGUGAAGCCAAUCCCGUAAAAUCGGUCUCAGUCCGGAUUGGAGUCUGCAACUCGACUCCAUGAAGUUGGAAUCGCUAGUAAUCGUGGAUCAGCAUGCCACGGUGAAUACGUUCCCGGGCCUU
rnacentral:rRNA from 1 species